CUAGUCUGUCCCGUGUCCAGGAGACGAUGUGGGGAGCCGGGAGGAGGCGCGGGGCCCGGCCCUGAGGAGGUGUCCUGCGGCUGCAAGGAGCACGAUUCCCCCCCGGCCCUCCUGCAACGCUCUGGGACACUCCUACUAAGAUGUCCCUCAGCAGCGGCACUGCAGACGGGAAAGGUGUGGACCCCAACGCGGUGGAGGCGUACGACAGCGGCGACGAGUGGGACAUCGGCGUGGGCAACCUCAUCAUCGACCUGGACGCCGACCUGGAGAAGGACAAGCUGGAGAUGUCCAGCGGCAAGGAGGGAGGGGGGGGCAUGGCAGCCCCUCCCGUGGCCACUUUAGUUGACAACAUCAAGUUUAUUAGCAUGGGAGCGGCCACGCAGGCUAAAGAGAGCAAAGCCAAAUCCAAACGUAGUAAGAACUCCAAGGAGAGCGCCAAGUUGGGCCUAGAAGGAGCCAAGAAAGAGAUCCAGGGUCGGGGGCCCGGGAACCCGCACAGCCAAAACCUCAACCGUACAACCCAAAUUAAGGGGGCCGACAAGUUUGACAAACCCCCCCGUACUAUCCCCGUGAUGAAAAAGGACAAAGAUGGGGUUUCUGGGAAAGCUAAGAAGGAGAAGAUGGAGGAGGUGACUCUGGGAGCCCUUGGCCCCGAGAAGGAGUCGGUGGCCCCCAUCCUUCCGGCGGGAGCCCCUUGCAUCGUCCUCUUUGAGGACCAACAAAAACCUGAGUCGGCCAUAGCCAAGCAGCUUGGUGACAUGGCGCUAGACACAUUUGGCCUGCCCGUUGCCAUGACGAUGCAGGAGCCAGACAGCGGCGACUGCCGGAAUCUCAAAAAAGCGGUUGGCGUGAAGAUGGAUUCUCCGGUCUCCGCCCCUGCUCCGGCUCCUCCACCUCUUCACCUCCUCACUCCCGUCCCCAUCAGCAAAAUCUCGUUUCCGUGCGAGCAGAUAAUGGUUCGCACGCGCUCUGUGGCGGUGAACACGGCGGACGCGGAGUUAGCGAAGGAGACGGAGUGCCUGGGACCCUGUGAGCCAGGCACCAGCGUCAACCUGGAGGGGAUCGUGUGGCAGGAAACGGAGGACGGCAUGCUGGUUGUUAACGUCACCUGGAGGAACAAAACCUACGUGGGAACCCUGCUGGACUGCACUCGGCACGACUGGGCCCCCCCCAGGUUCUGCGAGUCUCCGUCCAGCGACGUGGAGAUGCGUAGCGGCCGCGGCCGGAGGAAGAGGAUGCGCCCCGGCAGCAACACCCCGCUCAACGACAACAGAAAUUCCUCUGACAACCGGGGCAGCGGCGGCGUGGGAAAGACGCGCGGCGCCGCUGCCGCUAACAGUAAAGGGCAAAGAGGCAGCCAAACGGCGGGCACCGGUGAGGACGCCAUGGCCAGCCCCUCCUCCGCCAAGAGGAAGACCAAGCCCACCUCUGAUAUGGAGCCCACCUCCAGCUCUGAGGACACCAAGGCCUCCAAGCACAUGAGGACCAACUCCAGCGGGGGCGUGUGUGACCCACCGCCCGCCACUCACCCGGAACGGAGCUGCCCCUCCCUGGUGCUCAUCGACUGCCCCCACCCAAGCUGCAAAAAGAAGUACAAGCACAUCAACGGCGUUAAGUACCACCAGGCCCGGGCCCACAACGACCACGACGUCCGGCUGGACCAGGACGCGGACAGCGAAUACGGCGACGACUCAGCCCCCCCGCAGCCAGACCCCGCCUCGCUUAACAGCGCCAACAUCUCCCCCGCCCACUGUGCCACGCCUAAGGGCUGGGGUUUUGACACUCUGUUGCCCUCGCCGGGGAAGACCAAGUCCAGGCCGAAGAAGAAGGAAGUGGAGCCCGAAGGGACGGAAGCGGCAUGUUUGACGGACGAUGCAAGCAACGAUGGAAUGGACGACAGGAAGCCGAAGAAGAUGGCGGCCAGGGACAGAACUGACAAACUGACCCAGAAGGGCACAAAGCAGGGCCGGAGCAGCACCCCCUCGCCCUACGUCCUGCAGGCGUCCUCCCCCACCAUGGUCUUGGUAGUACAGCCCGUCCCCAAGAGCCCCCAGCUGAAGGUCGUCCAGUCCAAACCCCCGCCUCUGGUGGACCCCGCCUCCAGCCCCACCCUCGCCAAGGACAAGAAGAAGAAGAGGAAGAGGGAGAGAGGGAAGGAAGGGCACAGUCCCAAUGGUAAGGGGGGGAGGGCAGAGGAGGGACGGAGCCCGUACUCCGACAUGUGUGACCCGUUGCUCAACGGCUCUACGGAAGCCCUUCAGAGCCGGCUGGCCAGCAUCAAGGCCGAGGCCGACAAGGUUUACAGCUUCUCGGACAACGCGCCCAGCCCGUCCAUCAGCACCGCCAGCCGGAUGGAGGCGGGCCUCGAGCCUCAACCCAACCAGAACGGCGAAACCAAAAGCCCUGCCUACUCUGACAUCUCAGACGCCGGGGAGGAUGGUGAGGGCAGAGGGGAGGGGGUAAAGGUCAAAACCGAGCCUUACUUGUGGCCUCGCGAGGGGGCCAAGAAGGCCCUGUUUCCCCCCCAGGCUUCUAGCAAGGAGUCGGCGUACCCCAGCUAUGACUCCUACUACUCCCCCAACCCGAGCCCGGGAGCGCCACCAGCAGCGCCGCCCCACGUGGAGGGAUCCCAGGUGAAGGUGAAGAAGGAAGAAGAGGAGGAGAAGGUGGUCAAACUGAAGGUGGAGCCUCCGGAGGAGAGGAAGCCGUCAGUCAUCCAGCAGCGCUCCAACAUGUACCCCCAGCCUGUCUACUACAACCAGUUCUUCGUCCCCCCAUACCCAUACUCCCCCGACCAGGCCUACCACGCCCACCUGCUGGCCUCUAACCCCACCUACCGCCAGCAGUGCGAUGACCGGCAGCGGCUGGCUGACAAGAAGGCUGAGAGCAAAGAGCGGGAAGCCUGCGGCAAGAAGGAGUGGAAGCAGAAGGCCUUGGUGCUCCACAACCUGUCCAGGGCCCCCAGCCUCACUGACCUGGGCACCAUGGGGGGAAACAACCCAGAUAAACCCAAAGAGGCCCCGCCGGCCGCGGAGCAUUCCGAAUCUGUCACCAUGGCAAAGGGAGUAGAGCGGAAGGCGCUCACCGCACAGCCCGAGGGUUUAAAGAUGAAGCUGAGCGAAGCAGGGGAUCAUGGGAAAGAAGAGGCCAGGCCAGCGGUGGAGUCGGGCAGGCCGGCAGGUGUAGAGCCCGCCAUGUGGUACAGACAGGAGCCGGACUCGCACCUCUGGCCCUACGUUUACCCCAACAAGUAUUCUGACGCCCCAAAGCCACCGGAGGAGGAAAAGCAGUGGAAAGAGGAGCGCGAAAGGAGGGGCAAGGAGGAGAGGAAGGAGGGGGUUAGGGGCAGAACUCAGCUGCCCCCAGGAGAGCACUGGGCAGGGGGAAAGGAGACGCGUCAGCCCCCCCACCCGCACAUGCAGUUCUCCGGCUUCUUGGCUCAGCACCCCCAGGGCUACGUGCCCUAUAUGCACGGCCCCUACGGCUAUGAGCCAGGACCCCCAGGCUACCGGGGCAUGCCCUCCAUCAUGAUGCAGAAUUACCCUGAUUCCUACCUGCCGCGGGGCUACUCCUUCCCCUCGUACGGGGCCAAGGAGGAGGUGGAGAAGCCCUCCCGCUCCAGCCCCACGGUGAAGUCCCCCGGAGAGGCCAAAGCUCUGGAGCUGCUGCAGCAGCACGCCAGCCAGUACAAGAACAAGUCCCCCUCCACGCAGGAUGCCAAGCCCCCCCACGAGCGGGAGAGGGAGGGGCCCAAGUCGUCCCCCUCACAGCGCAUGCUGCCCACACACCACCACCUGAGCUACCCGCUGCUGUCGGGGCAGUACGACCUGUCCUACGCCUCAGGCCUCUCCUCCUCAGCCAUCGUUGCGAGUCAACAAGCAUCGGCUCCAUCCAUGUACCCCCCCUCAGAGAGGCAAGACAGGUGAGACCCGGCUCUGUCCACCCAAAGUCCCCAAGUGUUGGAGGUGGCGGAACACCAGAGGUCAAAGGCCCACGUGAUUGGCCGACCUCAAUCCUUUCCAGAGUCAUGUGACCAGAUCACAUGAGAAAGAGCGCUUCAAUUACGACAUCAGUUCAAUGGUGUUUGUGUACAUUUGAUUUCCCACCCUGGACCUCGAUCUCUUAGCUUCACAUGAAAAUAAAUAUACUGUGGACUUAGGACGGACGAAUCAGAGGGUUGCAUCCCCAGACUCCUCCUCUGUGUGUAACUGUACUGUACUCAGUGUGUGUGUGUGUGUGUGUGUGUAAAUACUGUACAGAGGAAUUAUUUUAAAGAGCCUGUUGGAUUUUAUACUCUUAUUUUGUCUGGUAGCCUCUGCCUCUGUUUUUCUACUGUUGUUGAUCUGAUACUAAACCUGUAGCUGGUGAACGGCGACAAGCUCUGCCUCCUCUUUGUCCGAAGAUAAUGAUUGGUCGAUUAUCACAGCUCGUCACUUGUUGCUGAAUAUCUUCUGGGUUUCCACGGCAAGUUCAAAACAUUCACUUUGAAAAAAGAGUAACAUCUGGGAUGAAAUCAUAGACCCAUCCACCCAGGUUGAACCUCGUGACUUCAUGUAGUGUGGAGGUUCUGCCUCGAGGGGGCGAUGCUGCUCCGUUAAACAUCCAUAUGUUAAAAUAUUAGUUUCUAGUUAAUACUUUUUCCUCUCUAAUUCUAAUUCAUCCAGAUACUGUUAUAUUAUUAUUUACCAAUGUUUUCUUCCAGAACAAAAGCCCUUUUUAAGAAAUAUAUAUAAUAAAAUACAACUCCAGAUCUCUGAAGCGUCACUGACUCAUGAAUCACGUGCCUGGACAGAAGACGUGCACGCAGCGUAAAUAAACCUCACAGGACGCUUGAUUGAAGAGCAGACCAUAAAGUGGUUUCCUCCUUGGUGACAUCACACUUCUCUCAGACCGGAAGAAACAAAGCACAGAAAGCUUCCCAUUUUAUUUUUAUACUCUUAAACGGGUCUCGUAUUUUCAUGUUAUUGUAACAAUCAGGAAUCUUCCAUCGUUGUGUAUUUAGUCACAUGACAGCUUUCCUGAGGUCAGGUUCACUGACUGACUGUAUUGAUUAGUUUUAUUCUCUGCCAAAAUGAAGAGGGGAGUCAAAAUAAAAUAAAGGUAAUUUUAGCAAGAUUUAGUUUGUGCUUCUACCUUGAUUCUCUAAAUAGAUUCUGAAUAAAUAACGUAGAGCCGAGCUCUACAAAGACAAAACACUGAUGCCGGUAGUACCACUGUGUGAAAUACUGCUGCUGUGGUAUUAAAAUUAGUAUUUUUAUGGUACCUGUACUGAGCCAGUGAAGGAAUGUCAUGAUCCCCCAAGAGUUUAAAUCCGAUCGACUUCAUGCUCAGGCAAAUAGAUUUUGACACCUUUGUGGUCAAUAGUUAUUAAAAUCAAGAGUUUUCGUUAAACUACCAGGGCGUGACCUCACGUCCAUUUUGGUCGAUUUCUGUCGAUUUUCUUGAAAAUGUAAAAUGUUAUAACUCCAAACAACAUUUUUAUUUCUGGCCGAAAUUUCUAAUUCAUGAUGCUAUUGUACGCCUUAAAGAAUUCCCAUGCAGUGAUUUUCAAAAACUUAUAGCGCCACCUAUUGGCUUAGCUAAAUGCAAAAGUUAUACACUUUAAUGUGUAUCUCCUAGCCAUAUAAUCCGAUCAACCGCAAAUCGUAGCAUAUAAACCUUAAGGCUUUGAUGAUAGUGCACUGUGAAUAUUGGGAGUUUUUGAAAAAACGUGUUGCCGUGACGACACUGUCUUCGCAUGAAAGUUCAAGCAGAUACUUUGGUGCCUUAGCAAACUAUAAAACUCUUGAAAACUUCUGUCAGUGUCCUAUGUGAUGACAUUAAAGACCUGAUAUGGAGUUUUGACUCAAAAAUGCUCAAUCACCUCCAUAGCUCCCCCUGGCAGUUUUCAAUGAUGCAGGGAGACGUAAAAGAAAGUCUCUUGGGACCAUGCUCUAAAAGGAACAGGAAAGCAGUUAUGAUUCUUUUGUUUGAAUAUUCCCUGUAUUUCUCUCAUUUUCUAGAAGCUAUGCUUUUGACGACCUCCUCUCUGCGACUUUGUCACAGCCACUUCAAAUUUUGACAAAACAGUCUUAAGGCCUUGGUGAUUAAAAGUUAUUGAAACCU